rnacentral:rRNA from 1 species
AUACGUAGGGGGCGAGCGUUGUCCGGAUUUAUUGGGCGUAAAGGGUGCGUAGGCGGCCUUGUAAGUCAGAUGUGAAAGAUCAUGGCUUAACUGUGGUAAGCAUUUGAAACUGCAGGGCUUGAGUACAGGAGAGGAGAGUGGAAUUCCUAGUGUAGCGGUGAAAUGCGUAGAUAUUAGGAGGAAUACCAGUGGCGAAGGCGACUCUCUGGACUGAUACUGACGCUGAGGCUCGAAAGCGUGCGGAGCAAACAGGAUUAGAUCCCCUGGUAGGCCACGCUAUAAACGAUUAGUGCUAGGUGUCGGGGGUCAAACCUCGGUGCCGCAGUUAACACAUUAAGCACUCCGCCUGGGGAGUUCGGCCGCAAGGCUGCAACUCAAAGGAAUUGUCGGGG